rnacentral:rRNA from 1 species
AUGGAAUGUCCUCUACCGUUUGGUGGAAAGGUUGUCGUCUUUGGUGGGGAUUUUAGGCAGGUCCUCCCCGUUGUGACCUGGGGGACAAGAGCACAGAUCACGGAUGCUACACUUUUGAGAUCCUAUUUGUGGGAGAACAUCCGCAAGAUACGCCUCACGCGUAAUAUGCGAGCACAAGCGGACCCUUGGUUCUCUGAAUACCUCCUUAGGAUAGGCAAUGGAAUGGAAGAAACAAUUGGCGACGACUAUGUGUGUCUCCCUGAAGACAUUGUGAUUUCUUAUAUCGAGGACGAAGAACCUGUUAACAAGCUCAUCAAAGAUGUCUUCCCAUCCCUGCACACCAAUGCUAUGUCGAGAGAGUAUAUGAGCACACGUGCAAUCCUCUCGACCAAAAACGAGCAUGUGGAUGACCUAAAUGACAAGAUGAUCUCCAGGUUUCCAGACGAAGAAAAGGUGUACCAAAGCUUUGACUGUAUCGAGGAUGACUUCCAAAAUAAUUACACGAUUGAUUUGCUGAACUCGCUCACACCAAAUGGGUUGCCCCCGCAUGUGUUGAGAGUAAAAAUGAACUGCCCGGUCAUUUUGCUGCGGAACCUCGACCCUCAUAAUGGGCUAUGUAAUGGAAUACGACUUACGAUCAGAGCUUUCCAGGAUAAUGCAAUCGAUGCGGAGAUUGUUGGUGGUCAGCAUGCCGGAAAGAGGGUGUUCAUACCUAGGAUCCCUAUGUCACCCUCGGAGGACACCUCACUUCCCUUCAAGCUUAAGAGAAAAUAG